rnacentral:rRNA from 1 species
CGACCUGAGCUCAGACGAGAUGACCCGCUGAAUUUAAGCAUAUCAGUAAGCGGAGGAAAAGAAACUAACCAGGAUUCCCCGAGUAAUGGCGAAUGAAACGGGAAGAGCCCAUCCCGAAUCCCCCGUACCUCCUCAAAGGCCAGCGGGCGGAGCUGUGGGGUAGGAGGCGCCGUCGCGAUGUAGGGUUGACCCGUUCCUAAGUCUUCUGGAAUGUGGCCACAGCCCCGAGAUGGUGAUAGGCCCGUGAGGGACCAGGUCCCCUAGUCGCGUCACGCUGGCGUCCUCGAGAGUCCGGCUGCUUGGGAGUGCAGCCCAAAGGUGCCCGAGAGGGUUGUGGGUGGUAGGCUCCAUCCAAGGCUAAAUACUGGCACGAGACCGAUAGCGCACGAGUACCGUGAGGGAAAGUUGAAAACAACUCUGACCAGAGGGUGAAAAGAGGUGAAACCGCCUGGAUGGAAACGGAUGGGCACACAAGGUCGAACCGGGCGGCACAACCAAGAUGUUGCUUGGGGGGCGGGCUCUGGGCCUCCUCAGGAGGCUGGCCUGUCCCACACCCCUCACCGAGGGGGAAGGGACGGGUCUUCCCGGGACAGGUUGUAGAUGGUUCUUCUGGCUUCCACUGUCGAAGCCGCCGGGCAGAGCUGAGUAAACGCCCUGGCAACCGGUGUCAUGUGGCCCGGUGAGAGAGCCACGGCCGGUUGGGGCCUGGGCCAGAAGUCCGAGGGCUCGGAAGGUAUCCCCUCCUGUAGGGAUUUGACUCUGCUCCUUCCUCGGUCGUCUAACGGCAGGGGGAUGGUUGGUGGGGCGAUCCCUGGAGAUGGUGAGAUGAUCUGGGCCGAUGCUAAGUCAGCUGGCGAGAGAAAGGACAGGCCGGCCCCGACCGUUCCAGUGCAAGCUAUUCGCUGUCACCUCGAGAAAGGGCCGAGAAGGCCCCGAGGUCAUUGGCAGAGCCUGGGUGUGAAGGGGACCUCCGGUUCCCCGUGAUGCCUGAGCCGGCCAACCCGAUGCGGUCCAAUGACGGCUCCCCAGCUCCGGCGCCGCCCUUAGACCAUCUGGAGGUGGGUGCCCCCCUGGGCACCUUUCCCCGGGUGCAGCGGGCUGUCCACAGCCCGGCUCCCGGGCCAAGGGGAGAGCGCGCAAAGAUUGGGCCGGAGGAAUCGGGGGCUGGAGAGGCCAUGAAGGCAGAGGCACCCGGACGACAGGGGGUCGGAGACAGAGGGCGGACGAUGGGGGGCACGCCACGGCAAAAGAAUGGGAGAGGUGGUGGAGGAGGGGGUGCAGUUGUGGCCCCUUCUCCCCGCCUGCCCCAGCUGUGGCGGACAGCCCCAAAGAAGGAGAGAGGCUGGCGGGAAUGCCCCUCCUCCGAAAGACAAUGUCCGCUCCUCGGAGCCCUUCGGGUAGGAAGGGGAAAGCCGACCCUGACGCGGAGCAAGCAGUCGUGGCGAGUUGGUAACCCAUCCGACCCGUCUUGAAACACGGACCAAGGAGUCUAACAUGUGCGCAAGUCGCAGGGCGGGCACGAAACCUGUCUGAGGCGCAAGGAAAGGAAUGGCUGAGGUAGGAUGCAGGGGAGCAGGGAUCCUUCCCUGCUCUUGGGCCGCACUACCCUCCUCCGGGGGCCCUUCAACGUCCUCGGGGGGAGAGAGCGCACAUGGUGGGACCCGAAAGAUGGUGAACUAUGCUUGGGCAGGCUGAAGCCGAGAGAAAUCUCGGUGGAGGGCCGACGCGGUUCUGACGUGCAAAUCGAUCGCUGGACCUGAGUAUAGGGGCGAAAGACUAAUCGAACCGUCUAGUAGCUGGUUCCCCCCGAAAUAUCCCGCAGGAUAGCUGGCGCCAACAUCGCAGUUUCAUCCGGUAAAGCGAAUGAGUAGAGGUCGGGGGCCUAUGUGCUGUCGCCUAUUAUCAAACUCUCAACGGGUGCGAGAGCCUGCCCCUCGUCUGGGGGCAGCCGCCGGUGGGAAAGAAGAAGAGUGCGGCCGGGGAAAGAGANNNNNNAAAAGAAAAGAGGGAGCUGGUCCCGUGCCGCCGGGGAAGCCUGAACGAGUAGGGGGGCGCGGAGGUGAGCGCAGAAGCCCGGUCCGUGGGGCCGGGAGGAGCCGCCUCUGGUGCAGAUCUUGGUGGAAGUAGCAAAUACUCCAGAGAGAACCUUGAGGGCCGAAGGGGAGAAGGGUUCCGCGGCGACGUCAUGCGUCCGCGGGUGAGUCGGUCCUGAGGGGUCGGCCAUUGCCGUUUAAAAGGGGGGGCCUUUUGCCCCCCGCACUCGAAAGGGAAUCAGGCCACGGUUCCUGUACCCAGAACCCGAUAUGAUCGCCCGACUCACGAGUACCGAGGACGGAGUCUAGCAGCGGGGAGCAGGGUAGCCGCAUCUGUAUAUACCCCCUUUCUGCGGUUGCUUGGCAAGCUGCUGCUGGUUGAGAGGCUCCCGAUGGGGAAAGGGGCUGGCGUGAAAUGCGGCGACGCGCGCGAGCCAGGAGACGCCAGCGGUCGGACCGGCCAGGAC